rnacentral:lncRNA from 1 species
CUGAGGCCCAGAGAAGGGACAGGACUCACCCAGGGCCACACAGCGAGGCUAAGGCAGAGGGAAAACCAGAAUCCAUGUGGCUCCCCCCAGACUCAGUGUGUGGCUGGUCACUGCUGAUGGCUCACCCACCAGGGACAGGAGGAGGAGGAGGAGAAGGGCAAAAAGGAGGAGGAAGAGAAUGAGGAGGAGGAGUUGGGGAGGAAGGGGGGGAGGAGGAGGAAGAGAGGAGGAGAAGGAACUGAAGGAAGAAGAGGAAGAGGAGGAGGAGGGAAGUAGGAGGAAGAGGAGGAAGGGAGCAGGAGGAAACAGGACUCCCAGGAUAAAAAGUUCCCUUUCUAACCAGACCAGCUGAGACUGGUUGAAACCAAGAUAGCUGACCGAGAAACUUCAAAAAGACCUUCAGCCUUAUUAUCAUCUCAUUUCCAUGCUCAGUGACACGCCCACAGUGCCAUGAUGGUUGGAAAUCACCAUGACGAUGACUGGAGGAAGGAAGGUCGCGCUCCGGUUCCAGGAAGCUCACUGCCCGCUCCCGGAAAAGACAUGAAUAUUCCUCCCCUUGCUUGGGCCACGGAAUGAAGCCUGCACUGCGGACACUCACUUUCGGUUUCAUGUAUUGGCUUCGUGACACCCCACAGCGAAAGACCCUCUGUUCUGGGGGAAUGACUGUGUUGGUGACAAAACCAUGCUUUCUGGAUCACUGUGGUAUUACGGCAGGGCUUGAAGUCAGGUAUGUGGGUUCUCCAACUCUGUUCUUUUUUCUUCCUCAUGGUGUUGGCUGUCCGAGGACUUUCGCCUUUCCAUAUGAACUUUAGACUCAGGUGGCAUCGCCUGCAGAAUGCCUUGCUGGGAUUGGCCGGGAUUGAACGUUAGACUCAGGUGGCAUCACCUGCAGAAUGCCUUGCUGGGAUUGGCCGGGAUUGAACGUUAGACUCAGGUGGCAUCACCUGCAGAAUGCCUUGCUGGGACUGGCUGGGAUUGAACGUUAGACUCAGGUGGCAUCGCCUGCAGAAUGCCUUGCGGGGAUUGGCUGGGAUUGAACGUUAGACUCAGGUGGCAUCGCCUGCAGAAUGCCUUGAGGGGAUUGGCCGGGAUUGAACGUUAGACUCAGGUGGCAUCGCCUGCAGAAUGCUUUGCUGGGAUUGGCUGGGAUUGAACGUUAGACUCAGGUGGCAUCGCCUGCAGAAUGCCUUGCUGGGAUUGGCCGGGAUUGAACGUUAGACUCAGGUGGCAUCGCCUGCAGAAUGCCUUGCUGGGAUUGGCCGGGAUUGAACGUUAGACUCAGGUGGCAUCACCUGCAGAAUGCCUUGCUGGGAUUGGCUGGGAUUGAACGUUAGACUCAGGUGGCAUCGCCUGCAGAAUGCCUUGCGGGGAUUGGCUGGGAUUGCAGCGAAUCACCUCUUGGCUCUAAUAGCCAAAAUUCAUAGCUGUGCAGAACUCUCUUUGAAAAAAUGGCCAAUGAUUACAUAAGAGUGAAUCCAAUUCCCAUUAACAAAUCUUAAUAUAAUACAUCCAACAAAGCUACGUGUAGAAACUAAGUGACAUCAAACAUAUGCUUGUCGUAAUCACGUGUGUUGAAAACUGUGUUGAAAAGUGCACCAGGUGCCAGUAGGGGCCAAGGGACCUAGGCCCCUUGCCAAGGUCAGCGCAUGCUGACCUGCGCUGGUGGUCGGGUGGAGGGCUCCAUUUGCAAACAGGCGACAGUUGGCUGCCAAUCUUGUUGAUCAUUUAUUUGCUGAUCAAAAAGGAAUUCUGUCAGUACUGUGCACCCUAACACAAUAUUUGGACCUUCAUACAUGUAUUAGUCGGUUUUCCUGCUGCUAAUAAAGACAUACCCAAGACUGGGUAAUUUAUAAAGGAAAGAGGUUUAAUGGACUCACAGUUCCGCAUGGCUGGGGAGGCCUCACAAUCAUGGUGAAUGGCAAAGGAGGAGCAAAGUUGCAUCUUACAUGGCAGCAAGCAAGAGGCCUUGUGCAGGGGAACUCCCAUUUAUAAAACCAUUAGAUCUCAUGAGACUUACUCACUAUCACGAGAACGGCAUGGGAAAUGUCUGCCUCCAUGAUUCAAUUACUUCCCACCAGGUCCCUCCCACAACACAUGGGAAUUAUGGGAGCUACAAUUCAAGAUGAGAUUUGGGUGGGGACUCAGCCAAACCAUAUCGAUACAUAAGCAUUUUACUGGGCUUUGGCUGUAUUAAGGGAUUGAUUGGAGAUUUUAAGAUCAUACAUUAUAAUUUUUCCCAUUUAAAAUAAUGCAAAAUGUGUUCUUCAUUGAUGCUUCCAAGCACAGAUUCUGACAUUUUGCAACAGGAUUCCAAUGUUAAGAGAAAGCUCCGUGUCACUUACUGGUUCUGAUGGGUCAGACCUGGACUCGGGGAAUGGAGGGGCUGGGUUCCUCCUAAACCACAGGGACUGAGGUGGGGUACGAGUGACUACCCAAAAGAACACUGGGGUUCAUUUAGCAACAGGAUGGGAAAUGGAUACUGAAAAGCAAAAUAACAAAUUUUACAAAAAUGUUUUCUGUCCAAGAAUUAAAUAUGUGACACAUCAAUGUGUUCAAUGUCCUUACAUAUUAUGCGUAAGACAUCUGGGCACAGAUAGGAAGGCAGGACAGGUCUGAGCACCUCCCGCCACCUCUCCCCUCCCGGCUCAGGAAAGCUGCUCACAGCUGCAGCCAGCCCGGCCCCCCGCCCUCACCUGCUCCCCCUGCUGUCUCCAGAGUCCCUGGGCUUUCUCCCCCUCCACCUGUUUCCUCUCCUUGGGCUGCCUCUCCCAGGCUAAACAUGCCCGGGGCACAUCAGUGUUGAAAAGAGCUGUUUCUCUGCUGUCCUCACCCCUAAGCUACAGGCUACACCUUGUUUCCCACCCACGGAGAAUCUUCUAGGGAAAUUAGUGCACAGGAUAAGCUUUUAACAGAUUAUCAGAAACGUUUUCAUCCUAGUGUUUCCUGUGACCAUGUGGCCCGCCCAUCCAGGAUGGUCUGCAUCCAGGGAAAGAUGGGGAAGAGGGGAGGGCAGGCCCAGUGGGGGCCUCCCCACCCACAGGCCCCUCCUCCUCCUGAUGGAGCAGCCCCAUCUGCUACAAGCACUCCCCAGGGGUGCGGGGUUCAUGCUUAGAGCAGCAAUCAUUCCUGUUUAUCUGAAAUUCAAAUCUGCCUGGCAUCAGGUACAUUCAUUUACUAACCUGCAGCUCCACCUGGAAUGAUUUGGGACAGCCCUUCCCAUCUCCCUGGGAAGGAUCAGUGGUGUUUGGACAGGCACUUUGCACCCUGGGUGCCUGUGAGGUGGGUUCCCCUUCAAGAAGAGGCCUAACCAGUGCUCCUGCUCCCUGGGUCGGGUCUCCUCACAGCCCAGGGUCUGGGUGGUCUGCAGGGCAGGCUGUUCUCUGUUCCUCCAGCAAGGAUGACCACUGCAGGUGGGGCUGCAGGGAGGCCAGGUGCUACCAGGUAGAGGCCAGAGCUGGGUCGCUCAGUUCGCUCUGCUCUUGUCCUCAGACCCCGAUGCCAGCUCUAGAAAGAGGGGCCCUUUUGCCUUGGCCUCUCCAUGGGGCACAGGCCUCCCUCCCCACCCCACCACGGCAGUGGGGGCAUGAGCUCCAGGGACACCUGCUUUCCUCACAGCCCUGCCCUGAGGACGCUGAUUUGCCUUCUUGCCACAGGUCCAGAAAAGUCUGGAUUUGAUCCUGGCACCGAGGAGGGUCUCUGUGAGCUUGGACUCCUCUCCUGACAGGGGGAAGGGCAGGGCCAGUGCAUCUCACAGCCAUGGCAGGCUGAUGGGACUGUCACACAGCUUUUUGGCCUUGAACUCAGGGCUUAAUGUUAUCAUAUCACUUAAUACUCCCAGGGACCUGGGUGAGGUACAGUCCCAUUCCCAUUUGACAGAGAGGAGGCUGGGGUGCACUGAGAGGUAAUCAGUGUGCUGGCGACAUUUAACAGCCAGCUCUCCAGAAACAUAAAUCACCCUGAUUUGUGGAGAUUGCCAGGUUCCCAGGCACAAAUAUUCCCAGCACAUCCAAUUUCAAGUGCUAGCAGUUUAACAACUGGCUCAUAAAACCCCUGAAAAUGUGAGAGUCGGCUCCCACAAGCUGCUGUGGGACAGCCCCAGCUCCCUGAUAACCUUCUAGGACCUGCCCUAGUUGGGGAGGAGACGGAUCCAGACCCCAAGGGCCUGGACACCAGGGGGGCUCCACUCAGAUCCUCUGGCCCUCACCAUUCCCAGGACCCCCUCUUGGGCUUCUGUGUUCUUCUCUCUCCAGGGCUGGCUCCUGACACUCCUCUUUAAACAACUGUCCUUAGGCCACUGAGCCCGACCAGCCCCACUGCAGUGAGCCGAAGUGGCCUGGGGGCCAGCCAUGCUGAAGCUGCCUCCUCCCAGCUUGUGGGAUAUGAUUUUGGUGUUUACAGUUUUCAGGAAUUAUAUAAACCAGGUAUGACACAGGCUGAACAUCAGUCAUGGUGAAAUUAUUCACAUCCCAGGAACCUGGCAGGGGCUGUGCUGCUGCUGCCCCUGGGAGUGAGUUGUCCCACACUCAGCAGCUCGCCCUGUCUCAUCCUCCCCACCUAGCGAGGCUUUGACCAGUGACGGGGGUGUGGGAACCUCCAACAGGGCGGCUGAGGCUGGGUUCACGCUCCAGGGCGCCCCUGCAGGACCACAAGGAAGCCAUUGCAGUCAGGAGACCUGGCGCUCAAAGCUUCGCUUAUCCUGACCCUGUGCCUCUCCCCGCUCCCUCCCGGCCCUCCCUUCACGCGUCACCUGUUCCCAAGUCCUCAUCCCAGGAUCUGCUUCCGGGGACCAGGCCUGAUAGGCUCCAAAGCUCUGCUCUUAACCAGCACCGCAACUGGAGGAAAAGCAGGAGGCAUUUGGCUGUUGAUGAUCAUGACAUUUUCAUUAUUCUGUGUGGUUUGGGUUUAUUUUACCCAAGGAGCACAGUCCACAGAAAAUAGAACAUUUCAGGAAUACCAACCAAGCUAAGUAACAUGUUCACAUGAUAUUUAUUAAAACUGUGAUGAAACCGGCUCCACAAACCGUUGAUAGAAGAUGGGCUGUGUAAAACCGGUACUGGGAAAACGGGUUGUCUGUGUGGAGGAAAGUAAGACUGAAUCGCUAACCAAUACUGCAAAC